rnacentral:rRNA from 1 species
GUGGGGAAUCUUAGACAAUGGGCGCAAGCCUGAUCUAGCCAUGCCGCGUGAGCGAUGAAGGCCUUAGGGUUGUAAAGCUCUUUCGUGGGGGAAGAUAAUGACUGUACCCCAAGAAGAAGCCCCGGCUAACUCCGUGCCAGCAGCCGCGGUAAUACGGAGGGGGCUAGCGUUGUUCGGAAUUACUGGGCGUAAAGCGCACGUAGGCGGACUGGAAAGUCAGGUGUGAAAUCCCGGGGCUCAACCCCGGAACUGCCUUUGAAACUCCCAGUCUUGAGUUCGAGAGAGGUGAGUGGAAUUCCGAGUGUAGAGGUGAAAUUCGUAGAUACUCGGAGGAACACCAGUGGCGAAGGCGGCUCACUGGCUCGAUACUGACGCUGAGGUGCGAAAGCGUGGGGAGCAAACAGGAUUAGAAACCCCUGUAGUCC